rnacentral:rRNA from 1 species
AGUGUUAUCCGGAAUCACUGGGCGUAAAGCGUCUGUAGGUGGCUUAACAAGUCAACUGUUAAAUCUUGAAGCUCAACUUCGAAAUCGCAGUCGAAACUGUUAGGCUAGAGUAUAGUAGGGGUAAAGGGAAUUUCCAGUGGAGCGGUGAAAUGCGUAGAGAUUGGAAAGAACACCGAUGGCGAAGGCACUUUACUGGGCUAUUACUGACACUCAGAGACGAAAGCUAGGGUAGCAAAUGGGAUUAGAUACCCCGGUAGUCCUAGCCGUAAACAAUGGAUACUAGAUGUUGGGCAGAUCGACCUGUUCAGUAUCAAAGCUAACGCGUUAAGUAUCCCGCCUGGGAAGUAUGCGCGCAAGCGUGAAACUCAAAGGAAUUGACGGGGGCCCGCACAAGCGGUGGAGCAUGUGGUUUAAUUCGAUGCAACGCGAAGAACCUUACCAGGGUUUGACAUGAUACGAAUUUUUUUGAAAGAAAAAAGUGCCGUUUGGAACGUAUACACAGGUGGUGCAUGGCUGUCGUCAGCUCGUGUCGUGAGAUGUUGGGUUAAGUCCCGCAACGAGCGCAACCCUUAUUUUUAGUUGCCUUUUAUGGAACUCUAGAAAGACUGCUGGUUAUAAACCGGAGGAAGGCGGGGAUGACGUCAAGUCAGCAUGCCCCUUACACCCUGGGCUACACACGUGCUACAUUGGGCGAGACAAUGAGACGCAAACCUGCGAAGGCUAGCUAAUCUAUAAACUCGUUCU